GGGGUUGUGGCUCAGUGGUAGAGCACUUGCGUAGCAUGUGAGAGGUACUGGGUUCGAUUCUCAGCACCACA
rnacentral:tRNA from 1 species